rnacentral:rRNA from 1 species
AUUGAACGCUAGCGGGAUGCUUUACACAUGCAAGUCGAACGAGUGGCGGACGGGUGAGUAAUAUAUGGGAACGUGCCCGGUGGAGGGGGAUAACUAAUCGAAAGGGUAGCUAAUACCGCAUACUAUUGGAGCGGCCGAUUUCGGAUUAGCUAGUUGGUGGGGUAAAGGCUCACCAAGGCAACGAUCCGUAGCUGGUUUGAGAGGAUGACCAGCCACACUGGGACUGAGACACGGCCCAGAUUCCUACGGGAGGCAGCAGUGGGGAAUUUUGGACAAUGUGGGAAACCCUGAUCCAGCCAUCCCGCGUGUAUGAGAAGGCCUUCGGGUUGUAAAGUACUUUUGGCAGAGAAGCGGUACCUGCAGAAUAAGCACCGGCUAACUACGUGCCAGCAGCCGCGGUAAUUC